rnacentral:rRNA from 1 species
CCUACGGGUGGCAGCAGUGAGGAAUAUUGGUCAAUGGGCGUAAGCCUGAACCAGCCAAGUCGCGUGAGGGAUGAAGGUUCUAUGGAUCGUAAACCUCUUUUAUAAGGGAAUAAAGUGUGGGACGUGUCCUAUUUUGUAUGUACCUUAUGAAUAAGGAUCGGCUAACUCCGUGCCAGCAGCCGCGGUAAUACGGAGGAUCCGAGCGUUAUCCGGAUUUAUUGGGUUUAAAGGGUGCGUAGGCGGCCUUUUAAGUCCGCGGGGAAAGUCUGUGGCUCAACCAUUGAAUUGCCGUUUAAACUGGGGGGAUUUAGGAUGGUUGAGGCAGGAGGAAUUUGUGGUGUAGCGGGGAAAUGGUUAGAUAUCA